rnacentral:rRNA from 1 species
AGCGCAGGCGGGACUGCAAGUUGGAUGUGAAAUACCGUGGCUUAACCACGGAACUGCAUCCAAAACUGUAGUUCUUGAGUGAAGUAGAGGCAAGCGGAAUUCCGAGUGUAGCGGUGAAAUGCGUAGAUAUUCGGAGGAACACCAGUGGCGAAGGCGGCUUGCUGGGCUUUAACUGACGCUGAGGCUCGAAAGUGUGGGGAGCAAAC